UACGUAGGGUGCGAGCGUUGUCCGGAAUUACUGGGCGUAAAGAGCUCGUAGGCGGUCUGUCGCGUCGGAUGUGAAAAUCCAGGGCUCAACCCUGGACCUGCAUUCGAUACGGGCAGACUAGAGUUCGGUAGGGGAGACUGGAAUUCCUGGUGUAGCGGUGAAAUGCGCAGAUAUCAGGAGGAACACCGGUGGCGAAGGCGGGUCUCUGGGCCGAAACUGACGCUGAGGAGCGAAAGCGUGGGGAGCGAACAGG
rnacentral:rRNA from 1 species